CCGGCCUUAACGCGGUAUAACACUAUUGUCUAAUCUUUAUAACCUCUAUAAUCAUAGAGCUAAGUAAAGUUUUGUUGUAUCAGAGAGGAACCUAAAAGUAUUAGCGUAAAAUGGCAAAACAUUAUAGUGCAAUUGAAAAAAAAAUCUUUCUAGAAAUAUUAAAAGAUUUCAAGCACGUUGUAGAAAUUUAAAAAAGUGAUAGUUCAACACUUCGCGACAAAGAAGUUGCAUGGACCGAAAUUGUUAAACGAUAUAAUGACUCUACAAUGAUUAUGCAAGAGCCUACAGUCCAACAGCUAAAAAAAUUGUGGGCAAACAUGAAGCAAGGUCAACGAGAAAUAUUAACUAAAGAGAAACAGGCUCGUUUAGCCACUGGUGGUGGUCCACCUCCUUCUGAGACAAACAUUGAUCCUGAUAUAGCAUUAAUAAACCCACAUCUUAUGAAAACAGCUCCUGUUUUAUUUUCAUCAAACAUGACAGCAGAUGAAAUUAAUAGUUAGUCUUUAAACGUAUUUAUAAUCAAAUAAAAUGGAUAUUAUAUAAGAAAUAUAUAUAGUAUACUAUUUAUAUAGAUAGUAUAUAUACUAUUUCAUACGAUCAAUACGAAAUUAUACAAAGUUAUAAUUUUUUAUUAAUAAUAGUAACUACAAAGUUACUUACUCUAGGAAUCUAUGCAGCCACGCGCCAACAAAUUUUGUUAAACUUUAAUAACGUAACCAUUUCCUAUUCCAGAAUGAAAAUUAAUUAAUGAAUAGAUCUUAAUUUAUUAAUUAAUUAAUAAUAUUCGUUGUGAAAAAUAUCACCCCACGCCAGGAUUCGAACCUAGAACCUCUCUCAUUCCGUGCGAGCGUCUUUCCAAUUCGACCACUUGGGGCAUGUGGUGAUAUCUUCCACCAGAUAUAUGAUGACCGCCGAAUUUUCUGGAAACGAGAGUACGAGCGUUCGAGACGGCGAUUCCUCUUUGGAGAAGAAGAAUUCUAAGCGGAAAAAGCGGAAGACGUCGCAUCACACGUGAUCUCAGUCACCUCGGAUUCAUCUAAUUCUUGCAAAUCGUGUCCACUAUGCCGAGAUCAGCGUUCCACCCGUUUGUGCGCAAAAUUCAAGACACUCCGGAACAAUAAUGAGACUACGGAAUAAACGCACAUUGUUUCAAUUAGUUCAGGUAAUUCUGUUUCCAGUUGUCCGUUCACAAACGUCCGGCCAUCAAGCCGGCUGUCAAGUCAUCACGGAUAUUGGUAUCUCUCUGAUAGUAGGACCAAUCGAGAAAAUCGCAGCUAUAAAACAGUCAGAGCUACUACUGUCAGGUAGUGAAGUCAUGGUACGAACAACGGUAUUUUUCGUACUAACACAAUCUACAAAAAUUAUUUAUACAAUACUUUUACGAGUAAAAAUAAAAUAUGAAUGAUUCAAAUAUUAAUUAAAGCAAUAUUGGGCAAAUUACUAAUCAUUAUAGUCUUCGAUAAAAGGUGGAUUGCAGUCUGAUUUCUCAAUUCCCCAUGAUUAAUUUCAUCUUGGGCGGUAAGAUAUAUGUUCAGUCUAACUGACGAGGAUAUCCUUCAAGUGAGUAUGGUGUUACGCAAGUUUAAAUUUUUUAUUCGGAAUAAAAAUAAGUUUGUUACAAUAAAACGCAUUGUUUUCAUAC